rnacentral:rRNA from 1 species
AUGCAAGUCGAACGAAGUAGCAAUACUUAGUGGCAGACGGGUGAGUAACAUGUAGGUAUCUUCCCUAUGGUGAGGAAUAACACGAGGAAACUUGUGCUAAUACCUCAUAAGUCUUUACGGAGAAAGCUUUAUGCGCCAUUGGAUGAGCCUGCACUUGAUUAGUUUGUUGGUAGGGUAAUGGCCUACCAAGACAAUGAUCAAUAGCUGAUUUGAGAGGAUGAUCAGCCACAUUGGGACUGAGACACGGCCCAAACUCCUACGGGAGGCAGCAGUAGGGAAUCUUGCACAAUGGGGGAAACCCUGAUGCAGCGAUGCCGCGUGAGUGAAGAAGGCCUUUGGGUUGUAAAGCUCUUUCGUCGGGGAAGAAAAUGACUGUACCCGAAUAAGAAGGUCCGGCUAACUUCGUGCCAGCAGCCGCGGUAAUACGAAGGGACCUAGCGUAGUUCGGAAUUACUGGGCUUAAAGAGUUCGUAGGUGGUUAAAAAAGUUGGUGGUGAAAUCCCAGAGCUUAACUCUGGAACUGCCACCAAAACUUUUUAGCUAGAGUAUGAUAGAGGAAAGCAGAAUUUCUAGUGUAGAGGUGAAAUUCGUAGGUAUUAGAAAGAAUACCAAUUGCGAAGGCAGCUUUCUGGAUCAUUACUGACACUGAGGAACGAAAGCAUGGGUAGCGAAGAGGAUUAGAUACCCUCGUAGUCCAUGCCGUAAACGAUGUGUGUUAGACGUUGGAAAUUUAUUUUCAGUGUCGCAGCGAAAGCAAUAAACACACCGCCUGGGGAGUACGACCGCAAGGUUAAAACUCAAAUGAAUUGACGGGGACCCGCACAAGUAGUGGAGCAUGUGGUUUAAUUCGAAGAUACGCGCAGAACCUUACCAACACUUGACAUGUUCGUCGCGACUUUAAGAGAUUAAAGUUUUCGGUUCGGCCGGACGAAACACAGGUGCUGCAUGGCUGUCGUCAGCUCGUGUCGUGAGAUGUUGGGUUAAGUCCCGCAACGAGCGCAACC